rnacentral:rRNA from 1 species
AGCGAACGCUGGCGGCAGGCCUAACACAUGCAAGUCGAACGAACUCUUCGGAGUUAGUGGCGGACGGGUGAGUAACACGUGGGAACGUGCCUUUAGGUUCGGAAUAACUCAGGGAAACUUGUGCUAAUACCGAAUGUGCCCUUCGGGGGAAAGAUUUAUCGCCUUUAGAGCGGCCCGCGUCUGAUUAGCUAGUUGGUGAGGUAAAGGCUCACCAAGGCGACGAUCAGUAGCUGGUCUGAGAGGAUGAUCAGCCACAUUGGGACUGAGACAUGGCCCAAACUCCUACGGGAAGCAGCAGUGGGGAAUCUUGCGCAAUGGGCGAAAGCCUGACGCAGCCAUACCGCGUGAAUGAUGAAGGUCUUAGGAUUGUAAAAUUCUUUCACCGGGGACGAUAAUGACGGUACCCGGAGAAGAAGCCCCGGCUAACUUCGUG